GUGAUUAGAUCGAGCGUGUCUUCAUUGACCGCUCACCCUUCUCACCAUCCACAUACACCUGUGCACUGUUUAGCCUGAGCCGGUUUUCCGGUCCAGGUUAUCAUUUCAUACAAACUCUAGUCUUAUGAAUGUAAACGUUUUAAUAACAUAAUA
rnacentral:misc_RNA from 1 species